ACCUUACCAGGUCUUGACAUCCUCUGACCACCUAAGAGAUUAGGUUUUCCCUUCGGGGACAGAGUGACAGGUGGUGCAUGGUUGUCGUCAGCUCGUGUCGUGAGAUGUUGGGUUAAGUCCCGCAACGAGCGCAACCCUUGAUCUUAGUUGCCAGCAUUAAGUUGGGCACUCUAAGGUGACUGCCGGUGACAAACCGGAGGAAGGUGGGGAUGACGUCAAAUCAUCAUGCCCCUUAUGACCUGGGCUACACACGUGCUACAAUGGAUGGUACAAAGGGCCGCAAGACCGCGAGGUUUAGCAAAUCCCAUAAAACCAUUCUCAGUUCGGAUUGUAGGCUGCAACUCGCCUACAUGAAGCCGGAAUCGCUAGUAAUCGCGGAUCAGCAUGCCGCGGUGAAUACGUUCCCGGGUCUUGUACACACCGCCCGUCACACCAUGGGAGU
rnacentral:rRNA from 1 species